rnacentral:tRNA from 1 species
UCUAAUAUGGCAGAUUAGUGCGAUGAAUUUAAGAUUCAUAUAUGAGGCUCACUCUAUUAGAA